GAUGAACGCUGGCGGCGUGCCUAAUACAUGCAAGUCGAGCGAACAGACCAGGCUCUUGCUCCUUUGUCGUUAGCGGCCGACGGGUGAGUAACAUGUGGAUAACCUCCCUAUAAUACUGGGAUAACUACGGGAAACCGGAGCUAAUACCGGAUAAUCUAUUGAACCGCGUGGUUCAAUAGUGAAUUACGGUUUUGCUGUCACUUAUCGAUGGAUCCCCGCCGCAUUAGCUAGUUGGUAAGGUAACGGCUUUCCAAGGCGACGAUGCGUAGCCGACCUGAGAGGCGGAUAGGCCACACUAGAAGGGAGCCGCGCUCCAGACUCCUACGGGAGGCCGCAGUAGGCAAUCGUCCGCAGCAGUCGGAAGCCUGCCAGAACAGCCCCGCGUGAGUUAGGAAGGUCUUCGGUGCGUAAUACUCUGUUACUAGGGAAGAACAAAUUUGUAAGUAACUAAACACGUCUUGACGGUACCUAAUCAGAAAGCCCCGGCUAACUACGUG
rnacentral:rRNA from 1 species